UACGAAGGGGGCUAGCGUUGCUCGGAAUCACUGGGCGUAAAGGGCGCGUAGGCGGCGUUUUAAGUCGGGGGUGAAAGCCUGUGGCUCAACCACAGAAUGGCCUUCGAUACUGGGACGCUUGAGUAUGGUAGAGGUUGGUGGAACUGCGAGUGUAGAGGUGAAAUUCGUAGAUAUCAGGAGGAACACCGGCGGCGAAAGGCGGCUUUCUGGCUCAUUACUGACGUUCAGGUACGAAAGCGUGGGUAGCAAACAGG
rnacentral:rRNA from 1 species